rnacentral:rRNA from 1 species
CCUACGGGAGACAGCAGUGGGGAAUAUUGCGCAAUGGGCGAAAGCCUGACGCAGCGACGCCGCGUGAGGGAUGAAGGUCUUCGGAUCGUAAACCUCUGUCAGCAGGGAAGAACGGUCACUGUGCUAAUCAGCAGUGAAUUGACGGUACCUGCAAAGGAAGCACCGGCUAACUCCGUGCCAGCAGCCGCGGUAAUACGGAGGGUGCGAGCGUUAAUCGGAAUUACUGGGCGUAAAGCGCUCGUAGGCGGCAUGGCAAGUCAAGGGUGAAAUCCCCGCGCUCAACGUGGGAACUGCCUUUGAAACUGGGAAGCUGGAGUGUGUGAGAGGUGAGGGGAAUUCCAGGUGUAGGAGUGAAAUCCGUAGAUAUUUGGAGGAACAUCAGUGGCGAAGGCGACUAUCUGGAACAUAACUGACGCUGAGGAGCGAAAGCGUGGGUAGCAAACAGGAUUAGAUACCCUUGUAGUC